CCUCGGUCACAAAUUUCCAGCUACUGUGCUUCAUCCGGAGAUAAGAAGGCUCUGUAGGAGCUCUAUUGGUCGUUCUUGGCAGCAGG